CUGAAGUCACAAAACAAUUGACGCGAAAAGCCUUUUUAAAAAAGAUGAGCGAUAUAUAAAUACAAGAGGGCAGAAGCCUCAAGGAAGAGAACGGACCUGGCCAACUGUAUUUGAUGCCUGCGGCCAUCUGUGCCAGAGGGGAAGAGCUGAAUGGACUGAGAAGAGGCCAUUAGGAAGGAAUGAGAUUCAACGAAGAGAUGCUCCUGGUCUGCCAACUCUGUUGGAUCGCACUCUUCCAAGAACGUGGCACGGUGCUCAGCACACACUGAGGGAACUGAGGCACAGAGAAGAGGUGUC